CCCUGUUCGUACCCUGCAGGCUGCAGAACUUACGUGGAUUUCGUUUGUUGGUGUUCGUGGUUCUUAAUUUGGAAAGCUACUUAAUUGAAUUUGAUUGUUUCAUUUAUAAAUGACCACUUCGAAUUUUUAGACUACUUUAGUUCAGUGGUGCUUGAAUUAGGCUAGCUUAAGGCGAACAGUGCUAGGCAAGUCUUUCAAAGGCUAACAUAUAGUAGGUAGCUACUACCUAUUGUAGCCAUUGCAAGACACCAUGGAACAUACUAAGAUUCUCCUGCUCCAGAAAGUAACAGGUAAAGCGUCAUCGAAGCAUGAAGAGUCGUCCUUUCGUUUAUGGAAAAAGUUGGAACGACGGAUUGGCCAGAAAUAUUAAAAAAUUGUAACGUUGUGUAAUUCGUCCAAGAGUGAUGCUUUGGUAAACUAGUUUUAAAAUCUGUGUGUCAGAGUAACAGACGAAAUAUAUAGAAUAAAUCUGAUAUAUCGAAUAAAUCUGACUGAGGUCUUUUGCAACUUAAUCCUAUACCAGGAUAAAACACGAAUAUUGUGGAAUUGUUGAGGGCACCAUGAGAAGAUCACGUAAGUCAUGAGGUCAAAAGAUCAUGACAACAGAUUGUACCUGAGGUAAGUUAUCUGACUGUACUCUCACG